rnacentral:rRNA from 1 species
UGGGGAAUAUUGCACAAUGGGCGCAAGCCUGAUGCAGCCAUGCCGCGUGUAUGAAGAAGGCCUUCGGGUUGUAAAGUACUUUCAGUCGGGAGGAAGGUGGUAAGGUUAAUAACCUUGGCAAUUGACGUUACCGACAGAAGAAGCACCGGCUAACUCCGUGCCAGCAGCCGCGGUAAUACGGAGGGUGCAAGCGUUAAUCGGAAUUACUGGGCGUAAAGCGCACGCAGGCGGUUGAUUGAGUCAGAUGUGAAAUCCCCGGGCUUAACCCGGGAAUUGCAUCUGAUACUGGUCAGCUAGAGUCUUGUAGAGGGGGGUAGAAUUCCAUGUGUAGCGGUGAAAUGCGUAGGGAUGUGGAGGAAUACCGGUGGCGAAGGCGGCCCCCUGGACAAAGACUGACGCUCAGGUGCGAAAGCGUGGGGAGCAAACAGG